UGCUGUGAACUCGAAGAGUAGGGCGGGACACGUGGUAUCCUGUCUGAAUAUGGGGGGACCAUCCUCCAAGGCUAAAUACUCCUGACUGACCGAUAGUGAACCAGUACCGUGAGGGAAAGGCGAAAAGAACCCCGGCGAGGGGAGUGAAAAAGAACCUGAAACCGUGUACGUACAAGCAGUGGGAGCCUCUUUAUGGGGUGACUGCGUACCUUUUGUAUAAUGGGUCAGCGACUUAUAUUCUGUAGCAAGGUUAACCGUAUAGGGGAGCCGAAGGGAAACCGAGUCUUAACUGGGCGUUAAGUUGCAGGGUAUAGACCCGAAACCCGGUGAUCUAGCCAUGGGCAGGUUGAAGGUUGGGUAACACUAACUGGAGGACCGAACCGACUAAUGUUGAAAAAUUAGCGGAUGACCUGUGGCUGGGGGUGAAAGGCCAAUCAAACCGGGAGAUAGCUGGUUCUCCCCGAAAGCUAUUUAGGUAGCGCCUCGUGAACUCAUCUUCGGGGGUAGAGCACUGUUUCGGCUAGGGGGCCAUCCCGGCUUACCAACCCGAUGCAAACUACGAAUACCGAAGAAUGUUAUCACGGGAGACACACGGCGGGUGCUAACGUCCGUCGUGAAGAGGGAAACAACCCAGACCGCCAGCUAAGGUCCCAAAGUCAUGGUUAAGUGGGAAACGAUGUGGGAAGGCACAGACAGCCAGGAUGUUGGCUUAGAAGCAGCCAUCAUUUAAAGAAAGCGUAAUAGCUCACUGGUCGAGUCGGCCUGCGCGGAAGAUGUAACGGGGCUAAACCAUGCACCGAAGCUGCGGCAGCGACACUAUGUGUUGUUGGGUAGGGGAGCGUUCUGUAAGCCGUUGAAGGUGUGCUGUGAGGCAUGCUGGAGGUAUCAGAAGUGCGAAUGCUGACAUAAGUAACGAUAAAGCGGGUGAAAAGCCCGCUCGCCGGAAGACCAAGGGUUCCUGUCCAACGUUAAUCGGGGCAGGGUGAGUCGACCCCUAAGGCGAGGCCGAAAGGCGUAGUCGAUGGGAAACAGGUUAAUAUUCCUGUACUUGGUGUUACUGCGAAGGGGGGACGGAGAAGGCUAUGUCAGCCGGGCGACGGUUGUCCCGGUUUAAGCAUGUAGGCGGAGGUUCCAGGUAAAUCCGGUACCUUAUUAACGCUGAGGUGUGAUGACGAGGCACUACGGUGCUGAAGUGAUAAAUGCCCUGCUUCCAGGAAAAGCCUCUAAGCAUCAGGUAACACGAAAUCGUACCCCAAACCGACACAGGUGGUCAGGUAGAGAAUACCAAGGCGCUUGAGAGAACUCGGGUGAAGGAACUAGGCAAAAUGGUGCCGUAACUUCGGGAGAAGGCACGCUGAUGUGUAGGUGAAGCCCCUGCGGGUGGAGCUGAAAUCAGUCGAAGAUACCAGCUGGCUGCAACUGUUUAUUAAAAACACAGCACUGUGCAAACACGAAAGUGGACGUAUACGGUGUGACGCCUGCCCGGUGCCGGAAGGUUAAUUGAUGGGGUUAGCGGCAACGCGAAGCUCUUGAUCGAAGCCCCGGUAAACGGCGGCCGUAACUAUAACGGUCCUAAGGUAGCGAAAUUCCUUGUCGGGUAAGUUCCGACCUGCACGAAUGGCGUAAUGAUGGCCAGGCUGUCUCCACCCGAGACUCAGUGAAAUUGAACUCGCUGUGAAGAUGCAGUGUACCCGCGGCAAGACGGAAAGACCCCGUGAACCUUUACUAUAGCUUGACACUGAACACUGGUCCUUGAUGUGUAGGAUAGGUGGGAGGCUUUGAAGCGUGGACGCCAGUCUGCGUGGAGCCAACCUUGAAAUACCACCCUUUAAUGGCUGGUGUUCUAACGUAGACCCGUAAUCCGGGUUGCGGACAGUGUCUGGUGGGUAGUUUGACUGGGGCGGUCUCCUCCCAAAGAGUAACGGAGGAGCACGAAGGUUGGCUAAUCCUGGUCGGACAUCAGGAGGUUAGUGCAAUGGCAUAAGCCAGCUUGACUGCGAGCGUGACGGCGCGAGCAGGUGCGAAAGCAGGUCAUAGUGAUCCGGUGGUUCUGAAUGGAAGGGCCAUCGCUCAACGGAUAAAAGGUACUCCGGGGAUAACAGGCUGAUACCGCCCAAGAGUUCAUAUCGACGGCGGUGUUUGGCACCUCGAUGUCGGCUCAUCACAUCCUGGGGCUGAAGUAGGUCCCAAGGGUAUGGCUGUUCGCCAUUUAAAGUGGUACGCGAGCUGGGUUUAGAACGUCGUGAGACAGUUCGGUCCCUAUCUGCCGUGGGCGCUGGAGAAUUGAGGGGGGCUGCUCCUAGUACGAGAGGACCGGAGUGGACGCAUCACUGGUGUUCGGGUUGUCAUGCCAAUGGCACUGCCCGGUAGCUAAAUGCGGAAGAGAUAAGUGCUGAAAGCAUCUAAGCACGAAACUUGCCCCGAGAUGAGUUCUCCCUGAGACUUUAAGUCUCCUGAAGGAACGUU
rnacentral:rRNA from 1 species